AAAGCAGUCGGGAGGGCGCAGCAAGUCCUUAAAGGGGCAGCGCGUGUUGGCGUCGGGGGGCGGGGCCGCUUCGGCCCGGACGGCAGACCGGGAAACUGAGGCUCAGGGAGAGAUUUCGACCUCGGCCUAAAUGCCGUCGCAGCCAGGAGGCUCGCGGUGCCCGGGCUCUGCCCCUGCGACGGGGCGGCAAGGAAGGCCCAGGAGUAUUUAUCAUUGCUCACUGAUCUUUGGUCGCAAGAAACAGAAACUCCUGGCAGCUGGAGCUCAGGGGCAGGACGAGGGGUGGCCUCCGUGCCACACAGUCCCUGACCCUGAGGUGUGCGCUGGC